rnacentral:rRNA from 1 species
CCUACGGGAGGCAGCAAUGGGGAAUAUUGCACAAUGGGGGAAACCCUGAUGCAGCGACGCCGCGUGAGUGAAGAAGUAUUUCGGUAUGUAAAGCUCUAUCAGCAGGGAAGCAAAUGACGGUACCUGAUUAAGAAGCCCCGGCUAACUACGUGCCAGCAGCCGCGGUAAUACGUAGGGGGCAAGCGUUAUCCGGAUUUACCGGGUGUAAAGGGAGCGUAGACGGGAGCACAAGUCUGGAGUGAAAUGCCGGGGCUUAACCCCGGAACUGCUUUGGAAACUGUGCAGCUUGAGUGCAGGAGAGGUAAGUGGAAUUCGUAGGGUAGCGGUGAAAUGCGUAGAUAUUAGGAGGAACACCAGUGGCGAAGGCGGCUUACUGGACUGUAACUGACGUUGAGGCUCGAAAGCGUGGGGAGCAAACAGGAUUAGAUACCCCAGUAGUC